AAGGCAUGGUGGUGCACGCCUAUAAUCCCAGCUACUCAGGAGGCUGAGGCACGAGAAUUGCUUGAACCCAGGAGGCAGAGGUUGCAGUGAGCCGAAAUCACACCACUGCACUCCAGCCUGGGCAACAGAGCAAGACUCCAUAUCAAAAAAAAAAAAAAAAGAAAAAGGUAAGUUUGGUGGUGCUGGACAUCCAUCUUUGCAUGACACCUGUAGGCUGGAGCUGGGUGGCUGCUGCUCUGUACAGACAGCACCCACCCAGACUGACUCACUCAUAUGGCCCUGCUAAUGUCUCUGGGCAUUGAGUUUGCAACCCUUGCUCACCUCUUUGCUACUUUCUCUUUCCCGUUCGAGUCCCAUGCAACGUGCAGCACCCACACAGCCCUAAGGAGAGCCAGCGCUUUGAACGUGCAUGCAGAAGGAACUCUGAAGCUCCCUGGGUGGGUCUGCAGCUUCCUCGGGAAGACAGGCUGUGUCACCAGGCUCUGGUGGGAACUAAUGAGCAUAUGUUUUCAGACCUAACCAGUAAGCAGCUCUUCUCAUUUUUCUGAUGAGAAGUCCCACAGGAGAAAGUGGAGCAUGUACCCCGACCAAGAGAAGGAGGCAGAAGGAAGGGGCUGACACUUCCCACACAGACCUCUGGCUCUUCCAGUCCAUCCUGCUGACUUUCACUGCAGCCCAGGUUUGUGGGCGCUCCCCAUAGCGACCUAGAAGUCAGCUUUGUCUUGGGAAACACUCCUGUAGUGCUCUUGUAGAACUCAGUAGAAGCUCUUCGUGGCACAUCGCUUGGAAGAAGACCAACAGUCGCCUUCAUCGGAAGUUAAAAAUACCAAUGGUCAUUUAAAAACACGUUCUUCACUCAACAUAAUAGAUGCUAGUUUGCAAACACAGCCAUUUAAAGACAGACAAGGCAAGAUUACUCCUCUACCACUCCAAACAGGGGUAAAAGUAUUUUAAAACAAGUUAUUUCUGCCAAUUACCUGUCUGAUUUGUUUGUUCACUUGUUUAUAUGUUAUCUAUCCCCCAAGGAGUAUUUUUGUGGCUUGCAGAAAUGUGAAGAGUAAUUUUUUUUUUAAAGAGAGAGAACAUCAUCACAAUGAAGAAAGCCUGGUGCAGUAAAUGAAGAUGGCGCCAGGGAUGACUUGGGUAUAUACAACGUUUGCCGUGGGGUCCUGUGCUCUUUGCAGAGGUGAGAUUCAGGUUUGACUCUGAACUUCCCAGCAGCUGAAACCAAAGCACACAAUGGCAUCAAUAACAAGAGCUACACAAUCAUUAAAAUAAAAACAGCCCAGCUAUCCAGGAGAAACAGAUCCUUUCCUGGAACUUCUGUUCUUAUCACUACCAGGAGGCCCUUGUGUGAUAUAAAAGGGACAAUACCUUCAAGAUCACUCCUGCAAUAAAAACAAUAGGUGGUUUCAAGGGGCUCAUUCUGAGUGUGUCUCUCAAAGGAGUAAUCAGGAUGUAAAGGUAAUUAAGGAAUCUCCAGGAAUGGCCAGGAGAGUGUAGUCCGGGUACAUAACUCCCAGACAACCAGACAUUGUUCAAAGACAAUAUUUUAGGUCAUCAAAUGGAUUGCAGACAGUUCAAUGCUCCCUGGCUAUUGUUUUCCACAGCAAUAACUUUGACAAGAAGUACCUCACUUUGCCUCAGGGACUUGUCUAUGAAACGCUGUGCCUACUCCUUACCUAGAUCCCGUCCCUGGGUCUUGCAAGCCUUAAAUUCAGCUUUUGUGAGCUAGUUCACUUUCUUGCACACUGUAUUGGCCCGGGCUCAUGCACAGUCUAUGAAGCAAACCCCUUGAACCGCAUAGUUGUCUUGGAACCGACAGUCUUGCAAUGCUUUGAUCAUACUGUCAACUAAGAUAUUCAAAGAAAUUCAGAUACUAAGAUAUUCAGAGAAGGCUCAGCCUCUGUCUCUUGACAAAGAGAUUUGUGCCAGGGUCAAGUCUACUUUCUCUAGUAGGCCCUAAAUUGCUUUGUUAUCUUCCCAGCAGCGGAAGUGAUAAGAGAAAAGCAUUCUGAUUUGGAACCAGAGCAGAUAUGUUUGCGGGAGUGGAAAACCACAGCAGUUUUUUCUUCUGCCACCUUCAUUAAUGUGAACAAAAAUGUUUUCACGCCAAAUUCAGAACAGAAACCAUUUUUUUUUUGUUUUCUAAUUUUGUUGAAUCAGCGUUUUGUAGAUCAGUAGUCAUUAAGGAAAGUUCAAUGUGAGGCCAGACUUGGGCAUUUCGUUCCGCCCUGCACACUUGCUAUUUUGAAGGGUCUGAUCCUGCAUCACCUAUGGGGCUCUGAGCGGUGGGGUGAGGAUGACCAGACACCACCCAUUACUAGGGGGAUCUGAAGCAAAAGGUUCUCUAGUGGCCAGGCACAACUGAGGCGGAACGUCUUCUUGAAAGGACCCUGAUCUUAAAAAUCUUGGCUGGAGAAGACUGAUCAACAGGUAUUAACUUGUCUUUGGGCCUUCCAAGGGUUGAAAGGAGGGUCUUAAAGGGGCCAUUGCCUCUUCUACAACAGACAACGGGUUGAAUCAAAGAGCAUAUAAUCGGCUACCAGGAAAUGCGAUGGCUCCCGUCCCACCCCUCACAAGGGGCAUGGGAAUCACAUUGUUGGUUCCACUUGGCCCCCUUAAGGCAGCACUUUCACAUGGGGCCCACCCUUCGUGCUCUGGGUGGUCAGGAGCAGGUUGUGCAAAGGGUGUACAUGACUUUCCUCAGCUCUCUGCAUGGACCCAUCACAUAGACAUUUUUAUUGUGGUGGCUUCACAAAACCACCAAAUUUGAAGAAAAAACACUUAUUGUUUGAGCAAAUGAAAAUUCUGACACAUUAAAAAAAUUCAUCUGUAGGUGCAAGUCUCACUAUGUCGCCCAGGCUGGUCUUGAACUCCUGGGCUCAAGUGAUUCCCCAACCUCAGCGUCUCAAACUGCUGGGAUUACAGGUGAGAGCCACUAAUUGGCCUAAUUUCAGUGCUGUUUUGUCUCAGGUAAUAGGGAAGCCUGGUGAGGGGGAGAAGGAUGCGAAAUGGCAAGUUGAUAAAGCAGUUAAAAAAUAAACAACAUUUAUCGAUUAAGUUUGCCAUCUUGUAUGGGUGUGGUUCAUGGUGCCCCCCAAAAAAUCACAAGAGACAGAUUGUAAGAAUUAGCAAAAUGUGACACAAAGAUACAAAGUGUCUACAUGCUGUUGAAAAAAUGGCACCAACAGACUUGCUCAAUCUAGCUUGCUGCAAACCUGCAAUUUGUAAAAAACACAUUAUCUCCAAAGUGCAAUAAAAAAGGUAUGCCUGUAUGUAAACUGUUACAACUCUGGCGAAUUUGCUUGUUAAAAACUGUACUUUUUAAGCAUUCUACACCACUGUAGUUAACAAUAAUAUAUAGUUGCAAAUAGCUAGAAGGAGAAUGUUGACUGAUUGAAUGAUCCCAAUGCAAAGAAAUAAGUAUUUGAGAUGAUGGGUGAGAUAAUUAGCCUA
rnacentral:lncRNA from 1 species